UUUACAUUUUUUAAAAUUUGCCUACGGCAAUCAUUCUAAACAGCUUGAAUAAAACCUGUCAAUAUUCAUUAUAGACCACUAUAACUGUGUAUAAUCUAACAAACGAGUUUAUUAUGAAAAUAAAAGCGUGUACACCAGAUAAAUUGGACGAUAAAGAAAUUGCUAACAAUAGUAUAAUAGAGCAUGUUUUAGGUUUUUAGGCGUUUAGAGGCAGAAAUGGAAAAAUUUAAUGUAAAAUCAAAUGUAAUUGAUUUAAUUAAAUAUAGAUUAAGUCUUGUUAGAGCAAAAUAAUAAAUAAAUACGUACACACAUUAAAAAAGCAGCCAAGAUGAAUGAGUUUAAUUUUUUAUAUAGAUUAAAAGUGAAGACAGAAGCAGCUGGUAUAUGCGGUCACUUAAUAUUAAAAUCCAGUAGAUCCACUUCAGAUUUAUUUCUCAACAGUUUAUGUUCACGUGGCUGUUUUCGUUUAUAUUCGCCGAGCUAUUAUGUAUUUUGAAAUAAUCUUGUCCGUGAUGUUCGUUCUUAAGACGAAAGGCAGAAUCCUGCAGCUCGAGAGAUAUAUGUUAUUCUGCCAGUCGCGCUUUCAAAUAGUCUUGCACACUUAAACGGGUCACAAACACCUGCAUUUAGCUCGUGUUGUGUUAUAAUGGAUGUAUUGUGUGCAUUUAUGGCAAUAAUUUAUUUUGAAAAGCUCUUAAACAAGAAUAAAUUCGUUAGUUUUGAACUUGUGACACUGUGCGCGCUGAUCGGAGGCGGUGAUUUCAGAUAGGCAGCCGCAAAUAUUUCAUUUUCACACAAACAGUUCAAAAACAUUUUAAUUUAGCUCUUGGUGUGCUCUAAUUGGUGAAUUGUGUGAUAUCGCUGCAAUACUUUAUUUUAAAUAGCUAUAAAACAAGAAUAAACUCGUUUUUUUCUGAGCUCAUCAUUCCACACGCUGGUGCUCAGAGCGGUGAUUCAUCUCUCGUGUUUCUCACGUAUCACUGACCACACAUCAAUUAUUAAUGAGCCCUGACCUGAUAAUAAUCAUAUAUGUUGGUUUAGCUUGUCAGUGUGAAUUAAAUCCAAGUAUUUAUUUGUAUUUUAACCGAUUUAAAAGUGAAACAAAAAGACAGUCUCCUCCCUUUUUUAGUCCGGUAACUGCACCUGUAGGGGCGCUAUUUCUCUCAGACAAUGGAAGUCUAAGCACACACACUCAAACAGAGGGACAGAGUGAUAUGAGAUGUCUGACAGUUUUUUAAUUUUCUGUUAUCCAUACAGUGUUGUAAAGUCAUGAAACUAUGCAUAUUUACUCAGAAUAACUUUAUUUCUGUAUGAAAAAAUGUUUUGAAGUGUUUGGAAUUUAAAAAUGCAGGAAAAUUAAUAAUUCCAUCUUUAUUGUCAUUUAAAAAAAUCCCCACGACAAAACCAUCCAAGCUAUCCAAAACCCAUUCACAAUUUAAGUUCCUCAAUGUUUUUUCAACAUGUACACCAAGUUUGGUGUGUAUAGUGUUACUCUCCUCUGAGCAGUAAGCAUUAAUUCACAGCUAAAUGUAAAAAACAAUCUACAUUCAAAUCAAAAUAGCCGACUUCCUGUUGGUCGUAGCUGAUGACUGUGAAUUAGAAAGUUGUCCGUCUUGAUAAGAACAAUUUUUGUACUGAGUUUGGUGUCUGUAGCUAAAACUAACCCCCCCACUUUUGACAAAAGGUGGCGCUAUAGAGUGCCUCUUCCACGCCCUCUUAUGAAAUUUUGCCAGUGUCUAGCUGUCACUAAUACUGAUAUGUGUUCUGAGUUUGAUGAAAUUCUAAGUAUGUUAUAUGCCUCAAAAUCACCUGAGAAGUAUUCCAGUUUGACAUGUUGCCACGGCAACAAUAUUUUUAGAUAUCAAUAUCCCCCCAGCAGAUUUAUAUCGGCUGUGUUUUAACAUUAUUCUGAUGAAGUUUGAAGCAAAUCGAGUAAAAAUAAGAUGCUGAAUUCAAAGCAUUUUGAAAAUGACACACUUCCUGCUGCCACUUGGUGGCGCUAUAACUUUGACUCCUAAUAGUCACAUAUAUGCGAUCGACAUCAUACAAUGAAUAAUCUGAUGAAGUUUGAUUAAAAUUAGGAAAUGUAUGUGGAUGGUAUUAGACACUUCCUGUUUCUCAUUUCUCGCCAUAAUUUCAAAGCCUCGCCAUGAGCAAACCGUUCGAGAUAUCAAAAAUCCCCUGGCAAUUUUUCAUCCCCAAUGUCUUGAGAUCAUGUUGACCGAGUUUGGCGGCAAUCGAGUAAAAAACCUAUGACAAGUAUUUCAAAUUCCAGAGCAUGCGCUUUUUACAUAACUCUAAAUAGCUGACUUCCUGUUGGGCGGAGCCUAUGAUAUUCAAUACGAAAGUUGUUCGGCACAGUGAGAUCUAUAUGUGUACUGAGUUUCAUAUGAAUAUUGGCAAGUAUGUGUGAGCUAUACAUCAACAUUUCUGACUGUGAUCCAGGGGGCGCCGUAGAGCCCCUGUGCCACGCCCGGGUCCCAGCUUCUGCAGGCUCCUAAUGGCCACAGAUUCCAAAGUGUGUGCAAAUUUUCAAGAGUUUUUGAGUAUGUUAAGGACCCCAAAAGCCCCCACAACUUUGACGAAAAAUAUGACUACUAAACCCAAAAUAGCCAACUUCCUGUUGGGCGGAGCCUAUGACAUGCAGUACGAAAGUUGCUUGGUUUGAUGAGAUCUACAUGUGUACCGAGUUUCGUGUGUCUACGUGCAAGUAUGUAUGAUAUAUGGCCCUCAGUAUUCCAGGGGGCGCUGUAGAGCCCCUGUGCCACGCCCGUGUAUCAGUCUCUGCCCGGCCCUAAUGGCCGCAGGUUCCAAUGUGUGUGCCAAUUUUCAAGACUUUUUAAGCAUGUUAAGGACCCCAAAAGCCCCCGAAACCUUGGAAAAAAAUUAGAAGAAUAAAUAAUAAAUAUAGCUGCAAGCAGCGAUGACGGGCUCAAGCCACCAAUGCCAUCGCCACCCCGGUGGCAUCAGGUAAACUGUGCCCAGCGGGCACAUGCAUUCACAAUAUCCCUCUGGCAGUGAGGUUUUAAAGGAUACGCCAGAUAAAGGGUUAAUCCGAAUCAUCUAGACUUUAAAAUCACAUUCACAGAACAAUGUAUAUUUAACUUUAGUAACACUUUACAAUAAGAUUUCAUUUAUAAACAUUAUGUUAAUAUGAACAAUAUUUAUAUAACAUUCAUUCAUGUCAGUUCAUAUUCCAAAAUUAAACAUUAAAACAUUGUUUUAUUGUGAUUUUUUUUCCAAGCACAUUUGACCAAUUCCAAACCAUAUCAAUCUUAAUAACUACCAUUAUUUUUCAUUUAAUCAUUUAUGAGUGCUAUACAAUAGUCCAGGAAAGCUGGAAGAGAAAAACUCCUUAUAUUCAUGUGUGCAGAAUUAUUAGGCAUGUUUUCUUUUACAGAUGAAAUGCGCUAAAAAAAGAGUUUUAACUCAAACUGUAAAUUCGAAAAUUAUGAAAUACCCAUGAUAAAUAUCAAACACACAUGCAAUACAGAAAUGGAUAAGUUAAGACUUGACCAUUGUACAAAAAAAUGCUGACUGGGUCAUGAGGUCAGAAAAGAAGAAGAAAAAAACAGGUCAAGAAGAACUGACAAAAAGAAUUGCAAAAUAAUUAGGAAUUAAUGUGAAGAUUAAUUUUUAGUCAAUUCUGCAAGACAGACUUUCAGGAAAGGAGGUGGAAUAAAAAUGAGCUCCUAAAUCUUAAUCCCGGAUUCUGGAAGAUAUAUUCCUCAAACCAUCGGACAAGAGGAGGUGCUGCUGGUCCUUCACGAGUCACUCUAAUCUGUUAAUUAAGCCUAUAUAUAAAGUCUUAAUAUAUAGUAUUUCACAAUACUUCAUGGUAUUCUAAUUCAAUCAUUUUUUGGAAUCUUAGAUCUCUCAGAACCUGGCACAUUGUAAUUCUGAGACUCCAGGAAAGUGUCAGUUCUGUAAAAUGUUGGCGCUGGAGACUAAAUGCUCCCUGAUAGUUUCACACCUAAUUCAUUUAACACACACACACACACACACACAUUACCCACAGUGACAGAGGGACAGAGUGACAUCAGAUGUAUGAUAGUUUUUUAAUUUUCUAUCAUCCAUAUAGUGUUGUAUAGUCAUGAAACUAUGCAUAUUUCCUCAGAAUGACUUGUCUUCUAUGUGUACAUUUUUUUGAAGCAUUUAUAAGCUGCACUUUAAAAAAAUAAAAUACAUUCACUGGUUACUUUUUUACUGUUAUUUAAAAAGAAAAAUCACCACGACAAACCAUUCAAGCUAUCCAAAAUUCAUUCGCACCUCUUCUGUAAGAUAAAUUCUUUAAACAGUGGUAAAAGAGGAUGUGGUGUUGAUCCUUCAAGAGUCUCUGAAAACGUAUCUGUCCAUAAAGCCUAUAAAGAAUUAUUCUUAAUAUACGGUUCACAAUACUUCAGCUUGUUUUUCUAAUUAAGUGAGGGUCAUUUUAUCAGUAAAAUACAUAAAAUUCAUAUUAUUUUUCUUUGAAAGAUUUCUAUAAAUGAUUUAAAUCAUACUUGUUUCUACAAUAAUUAUUUAAAAGUAAUCCUAUAGCUCCAUCUGGUGGCCAUUAUUGGUACUAAGAAUUGCCAGCUUGAUUUAUAAGUUAUGAUAGUUUUAAUUUUAUGCUGGCUCUUGAAAAUGAUAAAGCUAUGAAACUUACUGUGCUUCCUUCAAAUGAUGACUUCUACGUAUAUAAAAAAUUAUGAAUAGUUGGAAUUAAACAUUUUAAAGAUAUAGUAAAAUAACUAUUGUAUUUUUUUAUGUUACUUUAAUAAAUCGCUAUGGCCACACCAUUUAAGGUAUCCUAAACCCAUUCGCAAUUUAACAUCUUCAGUAUAUUGGCAUCAUGUUGAAAAAGUUUGGUGUGAACUACUUGUGUCUUCUUGGAGGAGUAUGAUUCAUUUACAGGCUGAGUUUAUCAUAAAUCCACAAUAAAAUUUCUGAGUUCUGUA